rnacentral:lncRNA from 1 species
CUUUGUAGAGGUGAAGAAAUGUGGUGCAGCAGUGGAGCAGCUGGCUGGAUCCUGUCUCAGCUGUUUCCUGAAUUGGAGGAAUUGGGAAGCAUGAAGAUAUAGAGGGAAUUCUAGAGAAUUCUGGAAUUCCCAGAUGCUAGAACAACACUAAAAAGUGCUGCAUGAUGCAAGGGGUGAAGAGGCUGAAGGAGAAGGAUGGCUAUAGACUUUCCAUAUGAGACAAAACUA